rnacentral:rRNA from 1 species
GCUCAGGAUGAACGCAGGCGGCGUGCNUAAUACAUGCUUGUCGAACGAGUUCUGAUUAAAGAAAGGUGCUUGCAUCUUGAUUUAAUUUUGAACGAGUGGCGGACGGGUGAGUAACACGUGGGUAACCUGCCCUUAAGUGGGGGAUAACAUUUGGAAACAGAUGCUAAUACCGCAUAAAUCCAAGAACCGCAUGGUUCUUGGCUGAAAGAUGGCGUAAGCUAUCGCUUUUGGAUGGACCCGCGGCGUAUUAGCUAGUUGGUGAGGUAACGCGUCACCAAGGCAAUGAUACGUAGCCGAACUGAGAGGUUGAUCGGCCACAUUGGGACUGAGACACGGCCCAAACUCCUACGGGAGGCAGCAGUAGGGAAUCUUCCACAAUGGACGCAAGUCUGAUGGAGCAACGCCGCGUGAGUGUUGAAGGCUUUCGGGUCGUAAAACUCUGUUGUUGGAGAAGAAUGGUCGGCAGAGUAACUGUUGUCGGCGUGACGGUAUCCAACCAGAAAGCCACGGCUAACUACGUGCCAGCAGCCGCGGUAAUACGUAGGUGGCAAGCGUUAUCCGGAUAAAUUGGGCGUAAAGCGAGCGCAGGCGGUAAAAUAAGUCUGAUGUGAAAGCCCUCGGCUUAUGCGAGGAAGUGCAUCGGUUUCUCCCAAACUUGAGUGCAGAAGAGGACAGUGGAACUCCAUGUGUAGCGGUGAAAUGCGUAGAUAUAUGGAAGAACACCAGUGGCGAAGGCGGCUGUCUGGUCUGUAACUGACGCUGAGGCUCGAAAGCAUCCGUUCCGAACAGGAUUAGAUACCCUGGUAGUCCAUGCCGUAAACGAUGAAUGCUAGGUGUUGGAGGGUUUCCGCCCUUCAGUGCCGCAGCUAACGCAUUAAGCAUUCCGCCUGGGGAGUACGACCGCAAGGUUGAAACUCAAAGGAAUUGACGGGGGCCCGCACAAGCGGUGGAGCAUGUGGUUUAAUUCGAAGCAACGCGAAGAACCUUACCAGGUCUUGACAUCUUUUGAUCACCUGAGAGAUCAGGUUUCCCCUUCGGGGGCAAAAUGACAGGUGGUGCAUGGUUGUCGUCAGCUCGUGUCGUGAGAUGUUGGGUUAAGUCCCGCAACGAGCGCAACCCUUAUGACUAGUUGCCAGCAUUUAGUUGGGCACUCUAGUAAGACUGCCGGUGACAAACCGGAGGAAGGUGGGGAUGACGUCAAAUCAUCAUGCCCCUUAUGACCUGGGCUACACACGUGCUACAAUGGAUGGUACAACGAGUUGCGAGACCGCGAGGUCAAGCUAAUCUCUUAAAGCCAUUCUCAGUUCGGACUGUANGCUGCAACUCGCCUACACGUUGUCCCAAUCGCUAGUAAUCGCGGAUCUCGACGCCGCGGUGAAUACGAACCCGGGCCUUGUACA